GCGUGGGAAAGUACAAUGAAACGAUGCACAAAGGGAUCAAAGCGUAAAGGUGCGAUAACGGAAGAUAAGAGUUUAAAACGAACGGCAUUUCAACCUCCCAUCACAGCGUUGAGCAUAAAUUAUUGAAGAUAAUCUGGGGGAGAGGAAGUAACGCAUGGAUCUCCUGCCCACCGAAAGCUCCUCCUAGUAUGUGAAAUAAAUCAAGUCUUGCUCAGCCAUUCAGCUCUUCAUGCAAAGUCAUUUCACGUCAGAUCUACAGCGGAAAUGAGCGGCUUGCUGAGAUCAUUUUUGCGUUUAAGGAGUCAUCAUUUGGCUCCGACUAGGAUGUUCAUCGGGCAUGUAAAGGAUUACUGAACUCUCUCGCAAGUUACUUUUUCCGUUCAAGACCUUCCCCGAGAAUGAGCACCAACAUACACCCCCUGCUUGUGUUUGCUCUAGCGCUGGUCAUCUUCUUCACAGUGAUGGGAAACCUGUUGGUCAUCGUGGCCAUCGCUCGCACCCCUCAGCUGCGCACCCCCACCAACGUCUUCAUCAUUUCCAUGGCCGUUGCAGACCUCAUUAUGGGUUGUGUGGUGCAACCCUUGGGCACCAGCGUGGUGGUCACCGGAAAAUGGCUUUUGGGUUCCACGGUAUGCGACUUCUGGACAUCGGUGGACGUUCUCUGUGUCACGGCCAGCAUCGAGACCCUGUGUGCCAUCGCCGUGGAGCGUUACGUUGCGGUGACGAAGCCCCUCAAGCACCAGGUUCUCCUGGACAAACCCCGAGUGGGCUACAUCGUAUGCGUGGUGUGGAUGGUGUCGUCUCUCGUUUCCUUCGUGCCGAUCAUGAACCAUCAUUCUCGUGCGUCCGACAACGACAGCAGAAAAUGUUACGACGACCCGCAUUGCUGUGACUUCCAUACCAACAAGACCUACGCCAUCUGCUCCUCUGUCGUGUCCUUCUACGUGCCCCUGGUUAUCAUGGUCUUCGUGUACGGGAAGGUGUUUGCCGUUGCGACCCGACAGCUGAAGCGAAUCCACAAGGACAGACAGCGCUUUCUCAGCGUUUCUGUGGAAGACUCGGAAAAACAGUAUAAAACUGACGAGUCUUGCGGAAGUCCGCUUCCUGCGGACCUAGACGAUCGGAGACCCAGCCCGAGGCCGUUGAAGCACGUUUUCAGGGAACACAAGGCGCUCAAGACGCUGGGGAUUAUAAUGGGCCUUUUCAUUCUCUGUUGGCUUCCCUUCUUCCUCUUUAACAUCAUAAAGGCCUUCAACCGCGAGGUGCUGUCACAACACGUCUUUUUGUUUUUUAACUGGAUGGGCUACGUUAAUUCAGGCCUGAACCCCCUCAUCUACUGCCACAGUCCAGAGUACCGGACUGCCUUUCAGAACCUUCUAGGAUGCAAAAUCAAACGGUUGGAUAGUGACGCCAUGCGGCAACACCUACAGACGCUGACCUCGUGCAUUCACAGAAACAGCUCUGUGAGAAUGGUUUGCUUAGCUAAUAAAAACCCAACUGUGGCACAGAGCACAAAUGUGAAAGACGCAGAGGUAGAAGCUCCUUUAGGAAGUGAAGUUCAAAGUUGACAUGGACCAGACAAAAGGUACAGUAAGAGAAAAAAUGUGCCGUAUUGUUAAAAUCCCUUACCCAAAUGUGACAAUUUCGUGCCACUGACAGGAAUGAGACCUGAAGUUGUGUGGGUUGUGCUGGAUGAUUUUCACCUAAAGCAACAAAAGACUUUCAAUAACGAAGGACCAGAAUAUAAUAUUAAAGCGAUAGUUCGCCCUAAAAUGACAAUUCUGUCUUUAUUUACUCACCCUCAUGUCAUUUCAAACCCGUAUGACUUUCUUUCUUCUGGAGAACACAUAGGAAGAUAUUUUGAAGAAUGCUGGAAACCAAACAGCAUUGGCCGCAAUUGACUUCCACUGUAUGGACACAAAACCACUGAGGCUUUUCUCGAAAUGUCGUCUUUUGUGUUCCACAGAAGAGAAAGAGUCAUAUACAGGUUAUGAAUGACAUACGGGUGAAUAAACGAUGAUGGAUUCUUUUUAUUUUUGGGUGAACUAUCCCUUUAAGGCGAGCAACUGCACAGCAACACACACUCAUACUGAUAGGCUACUUUUUAUCAUUGCACUUUAGUGAAUCGAGUCAUGAUUUUGAAGAUUGAAUACUCUUAUUUAGUUAAUUUCCCCAAAUCUGCAGUGGCACAGCUUUAAGAGGCAUUCAAAAUAAGUCUCAGCUAUUCCCACGCCAGUCAUCUCCGCGUUUUGGUGGUGCAUGCGGUCUGAACGGAUCAAUUCCUCUUUCAAACGCUAUCAAGCAUGAACUUCCUAUUCCAUGAAUGCCACACAUGAAACUAAAAUAAAGUUAUAUAAGGCCAGUGUGUCCAAUGGGCUUAAAAAAACCCACAUGGUCACGUUCAACUCAUCUUAAGUUCAGAUUCAGAAAUGAUCUAGAUAAGGAAACCAAACAGAAAGUGGUUUUUAUGGCAAUGCUUCUCAGAAUUAGCAGGUCUUUGUGAAUUGUGCCGCCGUGUCCCUGUCCCAGCAGGCAACCUUGCCACUUGAAGUAUUACAACAGACCUUCAUUUUCUCAUGAUUUUCUCCACUUUGCAUUUCAUGUGGGUCUCGAUUUGAAUGGAAAUCACUGGGGUGAGAUUAGACCUUUCGUGCAGCACGUUAAAACUACACCGUGCCACAGAUUCCAGCCAUGACAGAAGAUUUCAUGUCUUAAGCAGAUCUCAGGAACUCAAAAACUGAUCAACAGAUGCAGUAUCAUUCCUAAGUGUUUGAGUGUCUUGUUGUCGCAUCACAAAAAUAAAGAAGCUGUGAAUUCUGAUGGUGUGAAACAUCAAGGCCGUGUGUUUUCUAGCUUGUGCAUAGUGCUUUUAUCUACUGUAAAUAAGUUACAUAUUUGAAUUAUUAAAAAAUUACUGUUACUAUUUUUCUUACAUUUUUAUCAAAUAAAUAUUUUUUUAUUUCAAGCCGAGUCACUUUUAAAUGUAAUCACACAUCUCUUCACAAUAUGCCACAGGACGUGAGGAUCCAUAAAUGUCUAUAUUACAGAUAAUGUUGAAAUGACCAGAAACAGUAUUUAAAUAUAUCAGAAAAAUAUGUAUAUCGGCUUAACACAAACUAUAUGUCAUUUGAAUAAAAAGUAUAUCAAUAAAAAAAGACUAAAAGAGAAUAUAAAAGAGGAGAAUCUUUGGUCAGGCAGAUCAUUAUUGGCCUGGUCUGGAUCAAAAUUAGUGUUAAAUUUGCGUCUGCUUUAAUCAACAGCAUUCAUCUUCUGCCGGAGGGGAUCAGACAUCAUUCCUCGGUGCACGCAUUACACAGAAUAUGAUGAUUGAACAGGACAGUUUAAAAUCCGCAGAUACAAACACAUCUGAGAAACGUUAUACCGCAAAUCCCUCUGAUGUCAUUGAGACGUGCAAUCGCAAAAAAGUACAUUUUGACCUCUGAUGAUGGAAAACAGCCCCCAUGUUUUCAAGGGAUCGUAACUGUACCUAGCAUUGCUGUUUUUCAAGGGCCCAGAAGAUAGAAUUCUGAGCACUGCCCACAGAUGAAACAGACACGUUUUGAAGUGGAUCGAUAUCUGUACAUGAAACAGACGUUUCACCUGACGUCUACAGCCACAUUUCAACGAGCAAAGAGUUUCAUCUUGUAAUAUUGCAACCAAGGUCAAACAAGUCUGAAUGAAGAGACAGGGGUUUUGAUAAAAUGUUAAUAUAUUUUGCUAUCUGCUACGUUAAGCGGUGGAGACAAAUUUCUAUUGAUCUUCUGAUCAUAGCACUGCCAUCCCUUGCCAUCAGUCUUUGAUCUUUCAUCCUGGUGAAAAAAAAACCUUCUCCAGAAACCUGAUUUAAAGCCUGAUAACCUGAUGUUUUUAUUGUGUUAGUUAGCUGUAUUUUUUGUUUGUUAUUAUGGCUUAAAUAAAAACAAACCAUUUAUUGAUAUUAAUUGGAAUGCAGUGCACAAUAAUACAAAUAAACAGA